rnacentral:lncRNA from 1 species
AAGCUGUGACGUGGACCCUGUUGGGGAAGACUGACCAACUCUCCCUUCGCUGUGACUGCUGUUCUGCUCACCCGAUCCCGUCUUUAGGCAGGAUCUCAUUACAUUGCCUUGGCUCAUCCAGAACGCAGAAACCAUCUCUCUCUGCCUCCCUGAAGCUGGGAUUAAGGAUGUGAGAGAGACACCACCACCAACUGUUCCUCUCCUUUGGAGAUGCCAAGGGCAGGCUCUGAGUCCACUUGUCCAAUGCAUAUGCAAAUGAGUGAGUUGUAAA